rnacentral:rRNA from 1 species
UACAGAGACCUCAAGCGUUAUCCGGAAUCAUUGGGCGUAAAGCGUACCGAUAGGUGGUUUUACAAGUCAGAAGUGAAAUCUCAAGGCUCAACCUUGAGACUGUCUUUUGAAACUGUAAAACUAGAGGAGCAAAGAGGAAGCUGGAACCAGCGGUGUAGUAGUGAAAUGCGUUGAUAUCGCUGGGAACACCAAGAGCGUAGGCAGGCUUCUGGGUGCUGCCUGGCACUGCUAGGACGAAAGCGUGGGGAGCGAAUGGG